GUAUAAUGUCGGCGUUUUGGUGCUCGCGCUCCUCUCUGGGGCGCAGUUAAACGGGAAACACGAAGCGCUCUUCAGACAAGCGCCAACGUGUGCUGCCCCCGCAACGGUAAGCAAGUGCCUGCACGCUUUCACGCGUGCGCGGCAACCGUCCCCACAUACCACUGUGCAUCCGCAUGGGAAGGUCGGACGGCCAUACUCGCCAGCCCGGAUACCGGCCAAAAGGUGGAAGCGCGC
rnacentral:ncRNA from 2 species